rnacentral:rRNA from 1 species
UAUGUAGGGUGCGAGCGUUAAUCGGAAUUACUGGGCGUAAAGCGUGCGCAGGCGGUUUUGUAAGCCCGAUGUGAAAUCCCCGGGCUUAACCUGGGAAUGGCAUUUGGGACUGCAAGGCUGGAGUGUGGCAGAGGAGACUGGAAUUCCUGGUGUAGCAGUGAAAUGCGUAGAUAUCAGGAGGAAUACCGAUGGCGAAGGCAGGUCUCUGGGCUGAAACUGACGCUCAUGCACGAAAGCGUGGGGAGCAAACAGG